rnacentral:rRNA from 1 species
UGGGGAAUUUUGGACAAUGGGGGAAACCCUGAUCCAGCCAUCCCGCGUGUGCGAUGAAGGCCUUCGGGUUGUAAAGCACUUUUGGCAGGAAAGAAACGUCAUGGGUUAAUACCCCGUGAAACUGACGGUACCUGCAGAAUAAGCACCUGCUAACUACGUGCCAGCAGCCGCGGUAAUACGUAGGGUGCAAGCGUUAAUCGGACUUACUGGGCGUAAAGCGUGCGCAGGCGGUUCGGAAAGAAAGAUGUGAAAUCCCAGAGCUCAACUUUGGAACUGCAUUUUUAACAACCGGGCUAGAGUGUGUCAGAGGGAGGUGGAAUUCCGCGUGUAGCAGUGAAAUGCGUAGAUAUGCGGAGGAACAACGAUGGCGAAGGCAGCCUCCUGGGAUAACACUGACGCUCAUGCACGAAGGCGUGGGGAGCAAACAGG